UGGAAGGCGUUUUGAGAACGAAGUCCCGGGGAUACAAUACCUGGCGCCAUCAUCAUACGGCAGUUCAGGGCAAAAUGAAUCCUGCUGUUCCACUUCAUCUGAGUACAUAUAGAGAGCACGCCAAAAAAACCGGAGCAGAAAGUCAAGAAUGAUGACACGUGUAGUCCUAGUUUAGCGGCGGCUUCAGCGUCGCGCAAGCCAGGGCAGAGAUCGCGGUGGUGUCAUCUUCGCAGUGUAACGCGCCUUCCAUCCGGCUAGCGGCAAUAUGCCUACACCCGUGGUCGAAUAGUUAUCUCGUUGCGCCUGCCAUGAAUGAAAUCAAACAUAGACUCCUGCACUCGGGAAAAAGUGUUCUUUUCUCCGAUUGCAACGUUUCACAUUUCUACUUAUGUUUUAUGUUUAAUCAUUUAAAAAAAAAGAAAGAAAAAAAAAUAAAGCUUCACACACUUUUUUAAGAGUUUCCGGGAGAUUUCCAGAAUGAUCUAAAAUAAAAUCGCAAAAAAUGUUAACACAAUA